rnacentral:rRNA from 1 species
UACGUAGGGGGCGAGCGUUGUUCGGAAUUACUGGGCGUAAAGGGCGCGUAGGCGGCCUUCUAAGUCGGACGUGAAAUCCCUCGGCUUAACCGAGGAACUGCGUCCGAUACUGAAAGGCUUGAAUCCGGGAGAGGGAUGUGGAAUUCCAGGUGUAGCGGUGAAAUGCGUAGAUAUCGAGAGGAACACCUGCGGCGAAGGCGGGUAGCUGGGCCGACACUGACGCUGAGGCGCGAAAGCCAGGGGAGCGAACGGG